UACAGAGACUGCAAGCGUUAUUCGGAUUCACUGGGCGUAAAGGGUGCGCAGGCGGUUGGGUGUGUCAGAUGUGAAAUCCCGAGGCUCAACCUCGGAACUGCGUCUGAAACUACUCGACUAGAGUACUGGAGAGGGAAACGGAAUUCACGGUGUAGCAGUGAAAUGCGUAGAUAUCGUGAGGAACACCAGAGGCGAAGGCGACUUACUGGACACAUAUUGACGCUGAGGUGCGAAAGCGUGGGGAGCAAACAGG
rnacentral:rRNA from 1 species